UAGGGAAUAUUGGACAAUGGGGGCAACCCUGAUCCAGCCAUGCCGCGUGAGUGAAGAAGGCCCUCGGGUUGUAAAGCUCUUUUGUCCGGAAAGAAAAGCUUCGGGUUAAUACCCCGGGGUUCUGACGGUACCGGAAGAAUAAGCACCGGCUAACUACGUGCCAGCAGCCGCGGUGAUACGUAGGGUGCAAGCGUUGUCCGGAAUUAUUGGGCGUAAAGAGCUCGUAGGCGGUUUGUCGCGUCUGCUGUGAAAACCCGAGGCUCAACCUCGGGCCUGCAGUGGGUACGGGCAAACUAGAGUGCGGUAGGGGAGAUUGGAAUUCCUGGUGUAGCGGUGGAAUGCGCAGAUAUCAGGAGGAACACCGAUGGCGAAGGCAGAUCUCUGGGCCGUAACUGACGCUGAGGAGCGAAAGCAUGGGGAGCGAACA
rnacentral:rRNA from 1 species